UACGUAGGGUGCGAGCGUUAAUCGGAAUUACUGGGCGUAAAGCGUGCGCAGGCGGUUCGUUGUGUCCGAUGUGAAAGCCCCGGGCUUAACCUGGGAAUGGCAUUGGAAACUGGCGAGCUUGAGUGCGGCAGAGGGGGGUGGAAUUCCGCGUGUAGCAGUGAAAUGCGUAGAGAUGCGGAGGAACACCGAUGGCGAAGGCAGCCCCCCUGGGGUCGACACUGACGCUCAGGCACGAAAGCGUGGGGAGCAAACAGG
rnacentral:rRNA from 1 species